GAUGAACGCUGGCGGCGUGCCUAAUACAUGCAAGUCGAGCGAACAGACGAGGAGCUUGCUCCUCUGACGUUAGCGGCGGACGGGUGAGUAACACGUGGAUAACCUACCUAUAAGACUGGGAUAACUUCGGGAAACCGGAGCUAAUACCGGAUAAUAUAUUGAACCGCAUGGUUCAAUAGUGAAAGACGGUUUUGCUGUCACUUAUAGAUGGAUCCGCGCCGCAUUAGCUAGUUGGUAAGGUAACGGCUUACCAAGGCAACGAUGCGUAGCCGACCUGAGAGUGUGAUCGGCCACACUGGAACUGAGACACGGUCCAGACUCCUACGGGAGGCAGCAGUAGGGAAUCUUCCGCAAUGGGCGAAAGCCUGACGGAGCAACGCCGCGUGAGUGAUGAAGGUCUUCGGACCGUAAAACUCUGUUAUUAGGGAAGAACAAAUGUGUAAGUAACUAUGCACGUCUUGACGGUACCUAAUCAGAAAGCCACGGCUAACUACGUG
rnacentral:rRNA from 1 species